rnacentral:rRNA from 1 species
CUACGGGCGGCACCAGUUAGGAAUAUUCUACAAUGCGCGCAAGCGUGAUAGAUUGAGUCAGAGUGCGCUUCAAUUUGGAGUGCUUUUGUGGAAUCUAAAAAGUUCUACGAAUAAGGACUGGGUAAGACGAGUGCCAGCCGCCGCGGUAAUACUCGCGGUCCAAGUCGCAGCCAUUUUUAUUGGGUCUAAAACAUCCGUAGCUUGCUUCUUAAGUUCCUUGUGAAAUUCUGUAUCUCAAAUACAGAGCGAGCAAGGAGUACUGGGAAGCUAGAGACUGGAAGACGUAACGAGUACGUUCAGAGUAGCGGUUAAAUGUGUUAAUCCUGGACGGACUAACAACAGCGAAGGCACGUUACGAGGACAGUUCUGACAGUAAGGGAUGAAGGCUAGGGGCGCAAAACGGAUUAGAUACCCGGGUAGUC